rnacentral:rRNA from 1 species
UGACCUCAAAUCAGGUAGGACUACCCGCUGAACUUAAGCAUAUCAUAGCGGAGGA